CGGGGCGAGUUACAGUGCAGCGGCCAGCGCCGGCGCCAGGGGGCAGAGGAUCGCGCCCGGCCGGAGUUUCAGCGCGGCCGCCAAAAGCCGAUG
rnacentral:SRP_RNA from 1 species